AUACGGAGGAUCCGAGCGUUGUCCGGAAUGAUUGGGCGUAAAGGGCGCGUAGGCGGCCAUUUAAGUCAGCGGUUAAAUCGUGGGGCUCAACCCCAUUCUGCCGUUGAUACUGGGUGGCUUGAUUGCGGUCGAGGUUGGCGGAAUUCGUUGUGUAGCGGUGAAAUGCAUAGAUAUGACGAAGAACACCGAUUGCGUAGGCAGCUGACCAGACCGCAAAUGACGCUCAUGCACGAAAGUGCGGGGAUCGAACAGGGUUAGAUACCCUGGUAGUCCGCACAGUAAACGAUGAAUACUUGUUUUCGGCGAUAUAAUGUCGGAGGCAAAGCGAAAGCGAUAAGUAUUCCACCUGGGGAGUACGCCGGCAACGGUGAAACUUAAAGGAAUUGACGGGG
rnacentral:rRNA from 1 species